GCUCACCUUGGUAUAUGUGAAUAUUAAACAAAAGAAGCAGAUAGAUUCAUGACAAAAUUGUGUUUUGGUGAUGGUGAUGUGUUUGUACAUCUUACUUUACUGAAUAUUCUUGCUGCGUACAAUUAUCUCUAUCUAUAAUAAACUUGGCCCAGUAGUUUCAGUGGAAAAUGUUAGUAAAAUUUUACAAAUUUUAUGAAAAUUGUUAAAAAUUGACUAUAAAGGACAAUAACUCCUUAGGGGGUCAAUUGACCAUUUCAGUCAUGUUGACUUAUUUGUAAAUCUUACUUUUCUGAACAUUAUUGCUGUUUACAGGUUAUCUCUAUCUAUAAUAG
rnacentral:lncRNA from 1 species